AUCCCGGGACUCGAUCCCGGGACUCCAGGAUCAUGACCUGAGCCGAAGGCAGUCACUUAACCAACUGAGCCACCCAGGCGCCCCGCCCCCCUCCUCUGUCUUUCAUAGCCUUCUUGGGGCCCGUGCCUCUGUUCUGCUGGGACAGGUAGGAGGAUUCCCCUUCAUAGCCCUGGAAGGAGGUAUUGGUGGUGAGGGGCAGGGACUGGAGUGGGGAAGGCAUGAGGGCCAAGUGAGACUGAGUUUUUUUUUUUAGUGUUUCAUUGGUGUUUUUUCAAACAAAUCGAGGUGAAACUCACAAAACACAAUUAAACAUUUUAAAGGGUACAAUUCACUGGUAUUUAGUGCUUUCACAGUAUUCUGCAAUCACCACCUUGCUCUGCUUUCAAAACCUUCUCAUUGCCCUAGGAGGACACCAUGCCUGUUAAGUACCCACUCCCCACUCCCCCUCCACCCCCAGCAACCACUGCUCUGCUUUCCUUCUCUGCCGAUUUGCCCAUUCCAGUCUUUUCAUAGAAAAGGAAUCAUACAAUAUAUGACCUUUUGUGUCAGGCUUGUUUUCCUUAACAUAAUGUUUUUGAGGUUUAUCCAAUUUGUAGCAUGAAUCAGUACUUAAUUCCUUUUUGUGGCUGAAUAUAUUCCAUUGUAUGAGUACACCACAGUCUGUUUAUCCAUUCAUUCUUUGAUGGACAUUUGGGUUGUCUCCCAUCUUUUGGCUGUUGGGGAAAAUGCUGUUAUGAACCAUUGUGAGCAAAUUUCUGCUUGAGGACUUGUUUUCAGUUCUUUUGAGCACAUACCUACAAGAGACACUGCUGGGUCAUAGGGCAAUUCUAUGCUUGACUUUUGAGAAACUACCAGACUGUUUUUCACAGCAGCUGCACCUCCUUUUAGUUUUUAAGAUCAUGUUAUUCUAAGUGUAAAGAUAAUAAACCUGUAAAAUUUUAUACCAUAUUAUUUUUACAUAAAAUAAUACACUAUAAAAUUUUGGAAAUUAUUGAGCAGUUUUUAAAAGUUUUAAAGUAAUUAAGAAUUAUAAAAUCGUAUAUAAAUACAUGCUUAUUGUAAUAAUUCAAAUCAAGACGUUUCUAGCAGAAAAAUUCCCCUUUAUCUGUUCCUCCACCUCUGUCCUAUCCCUUUGCCUGACCAGUGUUAACCCUUUGGUCUGUAUCUUUCCAAACAUUUUCCAGGCAUUUGAACAGUUUUUGAAAAAAAAUUUUUUUUUAUGCAAACAUAUUAUACUAUCCAUAUUAUCUUGAUUUGAAAUCUUUCUAUUCGUUUCUUGUGAAUGUUGAUUAUUCUAGUGACUGUCAUAGAGCAGCCUUGGACAAAGCUGUCCUUUGGUGGCUGGAUAGGGAAUGUAUUUGUAAUUUUCUUUUUGUUAUCUGCAUUUACAAAUUUAAAAAAGGAACAUGAAUUUCUUUUAUAAUAAGAAAAGUCAGGAAGAAUUGGAGGCUUGGAGGCCCCGCGCACAGCUCGUACCUUAAUUUAGCACUUACUUCACUCCUGGUUGUAUAAUAAGCUGUUUACCGUUUGCCUCCCUUGAGGGCAGAUACGGCUUAUUCAUCUGCUGUCCUCCCUACUCCUGUGGAGUGUGCCAGGCAUACUGGAGCUCCGGCGAACAGGCGAGCAGCCCCUCCAGGGCUGCGGCUGAGGCUGCAGAGGAGAGGUUCUCAGUGGCCCUUUCCAGAGGACAUCAUCUGCCCCAGUUUACAGACGAUGAAGCAAGGCCCAGGCUAAACAGAGGGCUCCCUCUGCAUCGUGUACCUCCUCUUCUGUUGUAAGCAUCGUUCUCCAAAAGCAUGAUGGCACCUGUCAGCCUGAGGGCCCGCGCCUAUCUGUCCCAGGAAAUCUCGCUUGGCCUAGAAGAAAUGUUGCUGUGGGAAGGUCUCCAGGCAAGUCAUCUCCAUUAAUCUUUUCCUGUUUUCCUCUUGAAAGACGAGACUCGGAAUAGUCAGGUAACAUCUAGAGAAAGCCUCCUGUACUUGGAAGGAUCCUAUCAGGGGAGGGAUAAUUAUUUUACUGACCAGAGAACCAAGGUUCAGAAAUAUUGCGACUUGCUGAUGGUCACAUAGUAAAUUGAGCCAGAGGCUGAAAUCCAUGUCAUCUGACUCCAGGGACACUUUUCUACCACACACUUCCUCAUAGUCCCCAUAAUGUGCUCUGAGAUCACACCAUUAAAGACUUUCCAGACCACAAUUUCCCCCUCAAGCAUUCAUGCAACCAGUUUCCUUCCAGACCCAAGGGUUGAGAAUCUUUCUGUCUCCCCUUCUUUUUCAUUUCCCUGAGAUUUGCUAGCUCUUUCCCCGUCUCCUCUGCAGUCUACAGGAGUUCAUUUCUCUCUCCUCUUUUUCCAGAUAUCAUAAUUUCCAAAUCUUUCAGUUGGUUUCUUUUUCUGACUAUGGUCCUUUUUUUGGAGACUUUCCAACAUAGCCGCCGAUUGGAGGAUGAUAACAAUGAAUUAGUUAGUAGAUCUUCUUUGAUGUUAUUUUGUGGGUGAACUCAUUAAUUUAUGACAAAAACAUCAAAGAGCUUGGCUCCUGCAUUGGACUGGCUUGUCCUACGGCAGCUGGAUAAUAAUGAUUAGUUGGAUUGAAUCUCAACGUCUUCUUCUGCUUCAAGAAUUAAAGUCCAAAUGAUUGGGGUGUGGGAACAUCCCAUCCUGUAGCAUCCCACUGGCUUUGAGCCAGUACAGAAUGAAACUCCCCACUCCAAAUGUGGAUCUCUCUCUCCAUGGUCUCCACUUUGAUGCCUCUAAGCCUUGAGGUCUGUCAUGAUUAGUAGCAACUAUGGAGGCAGUGUGGGGAUAAAAGCCUGAGGCUGUUAAAGUCUCUUUCCAGUCAGGGGAGCUGGAUAUUAAAAGGGAUCACUCAUCCUUGCAUGGACUAGCUCAAGGUUCUCCACAGAGUCCCAGUCCUGUAAUUUUGUGGGAAGGAGAACUCUCUCCGGGCCACGCAAGAAAAGUGCCAGCACCGUGUUUAGCAUAUAGCAAGCUUUCCAUAUGUAAUGGUUGACUGGACUUUUCAAGAAAGGUCUUGGUGCAUGAAGUCUCUGGCUAGUUGAAGAGGACUAAGAAGUAGAGCUCAGGUCUUUGCUUAUACAACAACACCUCCGAACCUACUCACAUCGAUGGCCGUUUACUUUGCUUCUUCCACUUUAUUCAUGGUGGAAAAUUGUCUGUGCUCCUCUCUAAAGCCAUCGCCUCCAUGUUGGCCCUGGAUCCCAUCCUUUGCUGACCUCUUAAGGGCUUGUUUCUGCAAUCAACCCUCUCCUUCCUGAGGCAUUGGUGUUUCCCUCUUUACUAGAUUAUUUCUAUCAGCAAAUAAGCUCUAAUGUUUCCCAUCUGAAAAGAGCCUCCCUUGUUCCCAUUUUUCCUUCAGGCCACUGUACUACUCUUCACUCCCUUUGACAGCAAAAUGCCUCACAAGACUUGUCUCCACUCUUAGUAUCCCUCCUUCCUCUCCUCCAGUCAAACUCUGAAACCCACUUUAAUCAGGAUCUCAUCCCUGUUCUCCACUGAAACAGCUUUUAUCAAGCUCAUCAGUGAUCUUCUAGCUGCCAAGUCCCAUGGUCAUUUCUCAGUCCUCAUCUUAUUCUGCACACAAGCAGCUCUCAGCACAGCUGGUAAGACUCUGUUACUAGGUUUCUUGCUUGGCUCCGGGACACCACUCUCUCGUGGGUCUCCUCCUACCUCACUGGUCACUCUUCUCACUCGCCUUUCAUCUUCCCACCCUGGAAGUAACAAAGUGCCCAGGAUCAGUUCUUGGACCAUUUUUCUAGCUAUACCCACUCCCUAGAUGUUCUCAUCUGGUUCCAUGGUUUUAAAUACUGUUCACAUACUGGUGGCUCUUGAUGUUAUAUCUCCAACCCUCUACCUCUCUCCUGAAACUCAAAUGCCUAUUCCUCUUAGAUGUAUAAUAUGCCUAUCAAAUUUCAAACCUAAAUCAACUGGCCUACUCAGGCCUUAGGCUUCCCUUCUCAGUAAAUGGCAACUCCUUUCUUCCAGUAGCUCAGACUUCAAAACUUGGAAUCAUCUUUAACUCACUUUCAUACCACACCCCUAGUCUAUCAACAGUUCUUGCCAGCUCUACCUUCAAGUUAUAUCUAGGGUCUGGCCAUUUCUUACCACCUCCGCUGCUACUACCCUCGUCUAAGCCACCACCAUAUCUUGCCCAGACUACUUUAACAGCCUCAUAACUGGUAUCACUGCUUCUAUCCUUGCCUUCCUGCCCCUCCCAACCCAGCACUAGCAUCCAGGUAGCCUUUAAAAAACUGCAAUUAGAUAAUGCCAUGCCUCUACUCUAAACUUUCUAAGGCUUUUGAUCCCACUCUCUGAAUAGAAUCCAAAGUCCUUAUCAGGGCCUACAAGUCCUAUAUGACCUGGCUCCUCCUACCUCUCUGAUCUCAGCUCCCAUCUCUCUUCCUCUUGCCCACUCCAGUCUAGCUACAUGGGUCCCCCUACUAUUUUUUGUACCUGCCAAGCCCACUCCUGCCGCCUGCCCUUGUACUGUCCUCUAAGCUAGUCACUCUUCCUUUAGGUACCUACGUGUUCUUUCACUUACCUCAGGCCUCUGCCCAAAUUUCACCUUAUCAAAAACACUUAUGCUGACUAUCCUUUCUAAAAUAACCCUCCUCUGUCACCUCUCUUUACCAUGCUUUACUUUUCUUCCUAGCAAUGAUCACAACUCAACAUAUUUUAUACUGACUUGUUUAUCUGCCAUUGAUUGUUAUCCUCAUUAAUACGUAAAUUCAAUAAGAACAGAGUCUUUGUGCAUGUGGUCAUUGCUAUAGCCCAAGCUCUGAGAAUAGUGUCUGAUACAUAGUAAAUGUUCAACAAAUAUACGUUGAAUGAAUAGAUUUGUUGAAUGGACUCAUCUAGGUCUCUUGUUAUCAGAUAAAGAGAGUGUUUUCCAGAUAGUUGUUUAAUUAAUAUGACCAAAAUCAAGUGUGAGAAACUGGGAGAGAUAUCCAUGGAGAUCAUCAGAUUAUGCAGCUAUUUAAUACUAGUGACCACCAUGGGAUUCACAGAGAUUUUCAGUUUGCCCCUUGAUGCCAAAUCAUUGGCCAAACUCUAAGGUGGGAUGAAACAUCUGCCUUUAACUUCUUUGGCAUGUCAUUUAUCCUCUGGGACUCAGUGUGUUCUUCCGUGAAAUUGGCAGUUGAAGAUAUGAUUACUGCUCUGCUGGUUUAAGGUCUACAAGAUGCUGAAAGGAGUCAGUACGGUUAGGAGGAUCAACCACACAAGCUCUGGAAAUUGACUGCCUGUAUUUGAAUCCUGCUUCCAUUCCUCAUGAGCCACAUGACCUUGGACAACUUUCUCAGUUUUCUUAUUUGUAAAGUGGGAAUAAUAAAAGGAUAAUAAUCACAUUUAAUUCAAAGAGUAAUUGUGAGAAUUACAUGAGACAAUACAUGUAAGGUACGUAGCAUAUGGUUUGGCACAUAGUAAGCGCUCAGUGAGUGUUAUUAAAAAUGAAAAGUUCUGAGAGAUCAUUGCGAUUCAUGUAUUUUAGGAGCAGUAAACUACCCAAGAAUAUUAGAAGAUAUGAAACCUGUAAAGGUCUGAUAAUGUGGUUAGGUAGAAUGCCCUUAUUCUUAGGAGAGGCAUGGUGAAGAACUGAAGGGUAAAGCUUCUUAGUAUCUGUCACUUAUUUUCUAAUAAUCUAGCCAAACAUAUCUCUGUUUCUAUAUCUAUCAAGAAAAUGUGGCAAAAUGUUAACAACUGUUGAAGCUAGUUGGAUAGUAUGGUUAUUGUACUAUUCUUUCAACCUUUCUGUAUGUUUGAAAAUUCAAAAUAAAAGGUUGAAAAAAAGAAAAAAAGAAAGGACCCUAGAAAUAGUCUAGUGAAGUCCAACCAUCAUUUUUUGGAAAGAAGCUCAGAGGUGAAGCUUUUGACCAAGGUCGUAUGCAGGAGGAGCUUGAGCCAGACUCCAGGUCUCCUGGCUGACCAUCUCUCCCUUUGUGGGGGCAGCUGCUGUUGCCCCUCAGGCAGCAGUGAGCUGCAGAGGAACAGACUCAGCUUCCCCCAAAAGACCAAGGGGUGUUAGGGAUGUGUAAAAAGGCACGUGUGUUGGUGUUUCCUUUUUGUUUAUUAAGCAAAUAGGUAGGUCAUUUGGUUGGAAGGUAUGAUGUCAAAAAUUGUGAAGGCAGCACCAAGGCCAGACCUGACAUCCUGGGUAAACCAGUUUGGCACCAUCUGUUUGUGUUUUUUGAGUGGUGGUGGUGGUGGAUUUGUAAACGCUGGAAUUUCAGGGGAGAGAGGGAAGAGUAGGGGUAGGGGCCAGGGUCAGGAAGAGCAGUGGAGAGACUGGCUUAAAUUCUGGAUCUCCCUGAAAGAAGGGACCCCCAGGGUUUCUCUGGGGAUGAAAUGCAGGCACAUAUUUAAAGAAAGGAAAUGAUUCUCUGCGGUCUGCAGCAUUCUCCUCUAGCUGACAGGGUUCAAAGCAGUGAAAAGAAGAGAUGAGGAGAGGAGGGA